GACCUGAGAGGGUGAUCGGCCACACUGGAACUGAGACACGGUCCAGACUCCUACGGGAGGCAGCAGUAGGGAAUCUUCCGCAAUGGGCGAAAGCCUGACGGAGCAACGCCGCGUGAGUGAUGAAGGUCUUCGGAUCGUAAAACUCUGUUAUUAGGGAAGAACAUACGUGUAAGUAACUGUGCACGUCUUGACGGUACCUAAUCAGAAAGCCACGGCUAACUACGUGCCAGCAGCCGCGGUAAUACGUAGGUGGCAAGCGUUAUCCGGAAUUAUUGGGCGUAAAGCGCGCGUAGGCGGUUUUUUAAGUCUGAUGUGAAAGCCCACGGCUCAACCGUGGAGGGUCAUUGGAAACUG
rnacentral:rRNA from 1 species